rnacentral:rRNA from 1 species
UAGGGAAUCUUCGGCAAUGGACGAAAGUCUGACCGAGCAACGCCGCGUGAGUGAAGAAGGUUUUCGGAUCGUAAAACUCUGUUGGUAGAGAAGAACGUUGGUGAGAGUGGAAAGCUCAUCAAGUGACGGUAACCACCCAGAAAGGGACGGCUAACUACGUGCCAC